CCUACGGGAGGCAGCAGUAAGGAAUAUUGGUCAAUGGACGCAAGUCUGAACCAGCCAUGCCGCGUGAAGGAUUAAGGUCCUCUGGAUUGUAAACUUCUUUUAUUUGGGACGAAAAAGGGUCUUUCUAGAUCAACUGACGGUACCAGAUGAAUAAGCACCGGCUAACUCCGUGCCAGCAGCCGCGGUAAUACGGAGGGUGCAAGCGUUAUCCGGAUUCACUGGGUUUAAAGGGUGCGUAGGCGGGAAGGUAAGUCAGUGGUGAAAUCCUAGAGCUUAACUCUAGAACUGCCAUUGAUACUAUUUUCUUGAAUAUUGUGGAGGUAAGCGGAAUAUGUCAUGUAGCGGUGAAAUGCUUAGAUAUGACAUAGAACACCUAUUGCGAAGGCAGCUUACUACGCAUAUAUUGACGCUGAGGCACGAAAGCGUGGGGAUCAAACAGGAUUAGAUACCCUGGUAGUCCACGCCCUAAACUAUGAUUACUCGACAUUUGUGAUACACAAUAAGUGUCUGAGCGAAAGCAUUAAGUAAUCCACCUGGAAGUACGUCCGCAAGGAUGAAACUCAAAUGAAUUGACGGCNGAGAGAGCGAGACGACGACGAGGGAGAGG
rnacentral:rRNA from 1 species